UACGAGUGCUCCAAGCGUUAUCCGGAAUCAUUGGGCGUAAAGGGUGUGUAGGUGGUUGUGUUAGUCUUCUGUUAAAUUCUUCGGCUUAACCGGGGGCAUGCAGGGGAAACGGCACAACUAGAGGAUGCGAGAGGUACAUGGAACUCAGUGGAAGUAGGGGUGAAAUCCGUUGAUAUCAUGGGGAAACACCGAAAGCGAAGGCAAUGUACUGGCGCACUCCUGACACUGAAACACGAAAAGCGUAGGUAGCGAAUGG
rnacentral:rRNA from 1 species